rnacentral:rRNA from 1 species
CCCCCCAAAACCGAAAGUGUGACGGGGUUACCCAAAGUGUUCUCUUUAGAACUGUGGUAAGUGAGUAAUGUCCCCUUUUAGAAAGGAGAGGGCAAGGCUGGUGCCAGCCGCCGCGCUUAAACCAGCUCUUCAAGUGGUCGGGAUAAUUAUUGGGCUUAAAGUGUCCGUAGCCGGAUUGGAAAGUUCCUGGUAAAAUCGGGUAGCUUAACUAUCCGCGUGCUAGGAAUACUACCAUUCUAGAAGGCGGGAAAGGUCUGAGGUACUACAGGGGUAGGGGUGAAAUCUUAUAAUCCUUGUAGGACCACCAGUGGCGAAGGCGUCAGACUGGAACGCGCCUGACGGUGAGGGACGAAAGCCAGGGGAGCGAACCGGAUUAGAUACCCGGGUAGUCCUGGCCGUAAACGAUGCACGCUAGGUGUUGGGUCGGCCACGAGCCGCCCCAGUGCCGCAGGGAAGCCGUUAAGCGUGCCGCCUGGGGAGUACGGCCGCAAGGCUGAAACUUAAAGGAAUUGGCGGGGGA